CCCCAACAUUCUGUGCCAUAAAGCAUUGAUUGAAUUAUUCUUAUAAAAAAAAUCUUUAAGCUUUAGUGGCGUAUCACGGUCGCACAACACACCCAAUGCAUUCUUUUACUUUAUCCAUCCAACUUGUAUUCUAUGGUUGAGGUCUCCAUCCAAUUCUCCAUUCUUUUGUAAGAUAGAUUCAAGAUAGAGAAAUGUUCACUCUUUGGUACUUCCUGAUCUCCAAUCCUCACCCCUUAACUCAUUUGAACCUUCGUUCUUAUUGAACUUGCACUCUAUAUACUAUGACUUUGACCUACUUAAGUGAGAACCUUUAGAUUCCAACACUUCUUGCCAAAGGUUAAGUUUCGCAUUUACUCCAUCUUGAGUUUCAUCUAUCAACACUAUAUCGUCUAUGAAAAGCAUACAUCAAGGAAUAUCAUCUUGAAUAUGUCUCGUUAACUCAUCCAUUACCAAUGUAAAAAGGUAAUGACUUAAAGAUGAGCCUUAAUGUAACCAUACAGUUAUAGGGAAGCUUUUAGUUUGUCCUUCAUAAGUUCUUACGGUCGUCCUUGCUCCAUCGUACAUAUCCUUUAUAACUUGAAUAUAUGUUACUCGUACUCCUUUCUUCUCUAAAAUCCUCCAAUGAAUCUCUCUUGGGACCCUAUUAUAUGCUUUUUCCAAAUCUAUAAAGACCAUGUGCCAAUCCUUUUUUCAUAUCUCUAUAUCAUUUCAUCAAUCUUCGUAAGAGAUAGAUUGCCUCUAUGGUUAAGCGUCCUCUCAUGAACCCGAUUUGAUUGUCUGAAACUUGUGUCUCUUUCCUUAGUCUAUGCUCAAUUACUCUCUCACAGAGCUUCAUUGUACGACUCAUUAACUUAAUACCCUUAUAGUUAAUACAACUUUGUAUAUCGCUCUUAUUCCUGUAGAUAGGCACUAAAGUGCUCUUUCGUCACUUAUUUGGCAUCUUCUUCAUUUCAAAAUCUUAUUGAAAAGGCUUGCAAGCCAUGCUAUACAUGUCUCUCUAAAGACUUUCCACACUUCGAAUGGUAUAUCAUCCAGGCCCACUGCUUUUCUAUGUUUCAUCUUUUUCAAAGCUACAACCACUUCUUCCUUCCUGAUUUUGCGGUAGAAGAAGUAAUUUCUACACUCUUUUGAGUUACUCAACUCCUCUAAAGAAGUUCUCUUGUUAUGUUCUUCAUAGAAUAGAUUAUGAAAAUAAUCUCUUUAUCUGUCUUUAACCAUAGUCUUUGUACCUAGAACAUCUCCUUUUACAUCAUUGAUGCACCUCACUUGGUUCAAGUCUCUUGUCUUCCUUUCCCUUGCUCCAGCUAGUUUAUAGGAUUUAAACUCCCCUUCUUUGGUAUCUAAUCGCUUAUACAUAUCAUCCUAGGUUCGCUUCUUUCACGGAUUUAUUCACCUCCUCUUCACUACUUUAUACCUUUCACAACUUUCAUUGGUUCUAUCCUUUUAUAAGACUUUACAACAAUCCUUCUUAGCCUCAACCUUUGAUUGUACCUCCUCCUUCCACACCAAGAUUCUUUUUGAUGUGAAGCAAAACCCUUGAACUUUCCUAAUACCCUUCUUGCGAGUCGGAUACAGAUAGCCAUAAAACCCCACAUUUGGCUAGCAUCCCCCUCUAUAUCCUAAAAGCACUGGGUGGGUACUUGCUCUUUGAAACUGACUUGUUUUUCUCCUUUAGAUUCCAUUAUCUAGUCCUUGGGCACUUCAAGGUCAUGUUUGUUCUUCUAUCUCUUUUAAUAUGUACAUCCAUCACCAAAAACUAAUGUUGGUAUGAGACACCCCAACCCAGAAUGUCAACUAGGACUCCGAAUCAAGCUGUGUUGGCCGAUAAUUGGAAGGUGGCGAAGUCACAAAGUGUAGUGAUGUGAAAAAUGUGAAUAAAUUUAAACCUAAAUACAAAAGUGUGUUGUGAGUGGGAAUGAACCCAAUUCACACAUGAUGACAGAGCAUAAGUACAAUCCAGUAAAAUAGGGUGAAUGGGCCUAUUGUCCUGAAAUAUUACGUACUAUAACGUAUUAAAGUUUGGUGACGAUCCAAUUGUCGGAUCGUUGAAUCAUAAAAUGGUCAAGUGACGUAAUAUUCCAUACUAGGUUCAAACUAUCGAACUAUAACAAAUGGUUAUCAAAUUGACAUUAUAACAUCAAAUUUAACUAAAAAAUGCAACGUCGGCCCACUCGCCACAUGCCGCCGUACGUGGCGGGUGGCCACCCGACUGGCUAGAAAAUUCAACUAUUUCUAAAAAUUCUCAAAUUUUACAGGAAGGAAGAUCUCAAUGAGUAGAGCAAGUUUUAUACAUGUGACGAAGUCCAAUUUGGCCAGGAAAAGCUUCAAAUCACCAUAAACCCUCCGGAACCUUAGUAUUUGCGUGUUCUUGAUUUGUCCUCAAAUCAACUCCAACGUUCCAACCAAUGAUUAGGCAUUGUUCUAAGCUCAAGAGAGGGCUAGUGGUGGUGGCAAUUGAAAGAAAUCAUUGCAAGAAUGGCAUAUUCGUGAUAGGAGCAUAAUUAUUCGACUUGAUUAGCUUGUUUUCUUGCAUUUAUGUUGUUAGUUCACAGUUAUUUUUGUAUUUUAAGCUAUUUCAUGUGUUUGUAGAUCCAAUUGGCUAAAGUUGCAAGAAAGUGCAUUUUGGUGCAUUUUGGAGCAUUUUUUGGCUUGGAAUGGAUAUCACAUGCAUGGAGCAAGGUGGAUGGAUGAAAUUGAAGACUAAAAAGGCUAGGAAUGUGUUAAAGAGAAAGAAAAAUUAAUUUAAAGAAGAUAAGGAGCUCAGUAAGAAAAGAAGAACAUGAGUCAAGUUACCUUAUUUUGAUUUAACCUUUCUUAAUCCUAAUCCAACUAAGUUCCAGCCUCAAUGAGGGUUCCCAAAGAUAUUAGGACACUAAAUAAAGGAUUCUAGAAGCCUUAAUCUCAGCCACAAAGGGGUGUCAAACCACCUAUCACCUUCUUUGCCGUGCACACCAUUCUUGUCCCCUCCAUUGUCUCAUUGCUGCACCAUUUUAUCACUUUCACCUUCCUUGCCUUACACACCACCCUUGUCCCCUUCAUUAUCCCCUUGCUAAACCAUUCCACCACCUUUUACCUUCCUUGUCGUGCACACAUCCAUGUCUCCUUCCUUGCAGCCUUAACCUUUUGCAUUUCCUUCCCCUUUCCUUGUCACACCACUCCCUUUCCUUUCCCUAGCUGUGCACUCUUUCCCUUUUCUUCUAGAUUUCUGCCACAACUUUCACUUUCACUAUUGUGUCAUAACCUUUCCUUUUCCCUUGCCUUGUGUCCCCUUCCUUGUCCCCUUAACCUUUUCCUUAGAUUCUGAUUUGAUUUAGAGUUAAAAAUCCUUCUACAAACAUUACUUUCUUUCCCUUGGUUUUUCUCUGCCGCACCCUAGCUGUAUUUCCCUAGUGUUUUGACAUAUUUUGCUAUUUAAGUAAGUGUGUGUAACAGCCAUUGGGUACCAAAUUUCAUCCAUCCUCCACCACAAUCCACCACCAUUCAACACAACCAAAAAAACACAUCCACACACCAUCCCUCUACUUUGCCGCGCCCCCUUACCAACCCAAAUCCAUUCCUAAACCAGAAACACAUCCAAAAUCAUCCCUUAACCUCUGUGCCGCAGCAAGGAAAAGAAGAGAGAUGAGCUUGAAUGUGCAGGGCAUUCAAGUUAAUUCGCUGGGCGUUUUAGGUGUAAUCAAUCUUUUGUUUUCAAUGUUUAAAUUCAAUUUUGUUUCUUUUGAUGUGAACAUGAGAGGCUAAACUUGUUUUAGCUAGGGGAGACUUUGAAGCCAUGAUUUUAUAUGCAAUAUGAAUUGAUUAAAUCUAGUUAUGAAUUUGUGAAUCGUGAAUGCAAUUUGCUUAACUGUUUUAUUCAGAACUUAUUCUUGUAUGUCGAUUAAGGGUGCACACUUAGUUUGCAUGCAUGAAUUUGAUGCUAGAAUAUAAGGGAAUUUCACAUAAUCGUUAGGAACUUAUAUUCACAAGUAGUGAAGUUUUCUAGUCACGAUCGCGUUAAGUUAAAUUCUUGGCAUGAGUAUCAUGAUGUCAUAGUUACGAAUGCUUUAUCAAUGCUUAUGAUUUUCACAGAACGUAAUGAUCUUUGAUUGUAUCUCUAUUAUGAUGUCAUGUAGGGAACUUUUGAAGAAUGCUUUGGGUUGUCGAAUGAUGUCAUCCAAUCCAAUAACUAAAGGAAAAUCUGAAGGUUAAUUAGUGAUCGACACGGUUAAUCUGGGGCAUUGUCGUUCAUAAUUCAACAAAAGAGUAACUGGAAAUCGAUUCAUGUUCAUAUAAGUUAUGUGUGGAUAAGGAACCUCUAGCUAAGCCCACAAACCAUCCAGAAAUCCAAAUUCGUACCAAACUUUGUCUAGUUUAGUUUCUGUCUUGUUUUAGUUCAAAUUCUUCAAAACCAAAACCCCCUCCCUUUGUUUUAAGUAUCAAUUAGGUUAGAAUCUGUGUUAUUUUGUGUUUUUUAGUGUCUUAAGUCAUAAUCAAAUCAAUUUUCGUUCAAAGUCAUCUCUAGUGUCUAGUUUGAGUCAAUUUGAUUGUUUGAAGCUGUUUUGAGUCUUUUAAGGUUGUUUGAGUCAUAUAACCUUAGUUAGAGUUUUAGAGUCUAGUUUUUAUGUUUUUAGGUCAGUUUAGUUUAGAUUAGCAAUCCCUCCUAAUCGCCGAUUUAGAACGAUCCCUACUUAUACACAUACUGCAAUUGUCAAAAGAUGGUUUUAAUUUGUGUGCUUGUUUUACAUCUCAUCAAAUUCAAAUUCCCCCACACUUAGCUUUUGCUAGUCCUCGAGCAAAACAAAACAAACAAAACAAAACCUAAACCUUCCAACAUUUGCCUCAGGGAUUUCCAAAUGAAAUAUGACACGCCAAAGAUCACUACUCCCAUAGAUUUUAGUCAUCCUUACCCUCGAGCACACACUUAAUCAAAGUCACCACUUACUAGCUCGCAUUUAAUGAAUUAAAACAAUGCUUUGAAUGAAAUAACAUGCCUUAGAGAAUUCCCUCAAUUCCUCACCUGAUAUACUCUCUAUUUUCACACAGAUUUUCUAACUACACUCCCUAUACUAAGUAUAUGUGAGAAGAUUGAUGUAAACAUGUAAACUAGUACUCACAUAUGUUUUAAACAAAGAAGGCACUUUCUGGAGUUAUUAAUACAUGUCUAUGUAUAUGAUCUCAUGAACGGAAUGCUACUACAUAGAAGCGAGAACCAGGGAUUCCAUAUGCUCACACCAAUUUCAAACUCCAUAGAUUGAAACACAUAACACCCAAGAUAGAAGUCAAAGGGUUGUAACGGGACUAGGGUAUUGGCUAACAAAGAAAGGUAAGGAUAAACAAACAUUCUUAAAGCAAUAGUGAGCAAAGUAAUGAAAUUGACACUUAGAAUUCAAUUUUGAAUGCAAAAAUCCACUUUAAACACAAAGGGAAGAUUCACAAAACACUUAGGGCCAGAUUCAAAUUUUUGGACCCUUUCUUCAACAACCAACACUUGUGAGCUCAUUCUCAUUUAUUUUCAACUCUUUUCCUUUCUUUUCAACACACUUUUUCUUUUCUUUUUCUUUUUCCACAUUUUUUUUUCUUUUGUGGGAAACAACCUUCCCCCACACUCGUUUUCUGCAUAAUGUUAAUCAAAUUGAAUUCCCUCUAAGAGAUGCUCCACUAUACUUCAAGAACAAGGGUAUAGAUAGUCCUAUUCUAGGCUAGGUAGGGAUAAUGUGGCUAACAAAGAAAAUAGGCUAAACAAGGCUCAAAGGGGGUUAAACCUACAAAACAAAUGCAUGGGAUAAAGGCUUUUUGGCUCUGGUGGUAACUACUAAACAACUUCAUCUUGUUAUGUGUUAUGCACUCAAUUUUAAACUUUGAAUGAAACGGGCAUGAGUUCUAGUAUUUGGAACUAUAAUGAUGAAAACGUAUUCUAAGUAACAACCAAGCAAAGAAUAAUGAGAUCAUGCAACAACUUAGAAAACAAGAAUGCACAGAUUAAUAACUCUCCAAAUAACAUUUAGGCUCAAGUCUCACAGGGUUGUAGCGUUAGUUUGAGUUCCUUCCUUCAAGCAUGUUACAAAAACUGAUUUUAUUUUUUUUUCCCUUUAGGAUUCCAUGUGAAUUCGUAAACAUCAACUACAACCAAGCAUAAACCAGAGAGCAUAUCAAACUUCCACCCAUGUUUGUAACUUUCUUUAACAGUCAUGUAAUUAAAAACCAAAUCCUCAUCAUUGUGUUGGAAGGUACCCUAAGACACAAACACACAAAAACGACUCUUUUUGGGUUUUUCAAAACAUUUUCUAACUUUUUUUUUUUCAAAUUUUCGUAUUUUUCAUUCAAAACACACUAAAAUAGUUCAAAACACACUAAAAACACUGAAAACAGUGAAAACAACUCUAGAGGGGAUAGGUGAUAAAAACCCACGAAUUUUCAAUAAAAACACUUUGUUUACCCCCCCCCCCACACUUAAACCAAACAUUGUCCUCCAUGUUUCAAAUAUAGACCCACACAUAAACAAACAAACAAACAAACAACGAACUAAUCAUGACAAAAAGGUCGUACCCAGUGCACAAGGCUCCCGCUUUACGCAGGGUCUGGGAGAGGUAAAUGUCGGCUAGCCUUACCCCCAUUUAUGGAGAGGCUGCUCCCAAGUCUCGAACCCGAGACCUACCACUCAUGGGCGAAGGCACUUGCCAUCGCACUAAGUGCGACCUCCGAACUAAUCAUGACAAACAUGGCAAAAUAAAUGCAGUAAAGAUAAGGGUUGUAGGAACGCAAAUCUGGUUUUGGUGCGAUGCCUAGGUCCUCCUUAUUUGAAUGCAUGGGUUGCCUCCCAAGAAGCGCUUGCUUUAACAUCUUGCAGCCGGACGAUACUUCCAUUCAAACUCCCCUAGGUCCCACGACAUGGAAUUAAUCUUUGAAUGGAAGGUGAUACUUGCAAUGAUCCGGUAAUGGUUUAAAUUUUAGAGUGGGUGCCUGAAUCAUUAACAACAUAUUAGUAUAAAACAAAAUUGAAUUUCAGGGAGGUGGCGUACCUCUUUGCUCCGACAUGAACUCAAGAAUAAACACCACGUCUUUGAAAGUUUCAGGAAUGUUGGACUUGGCCAGAUUUAAUAUGAUGGUUGUGACUUGUCAUGUGUUAUAAAUCUCAACUUCUUUGGGCUUUGUUGUCUCACAUACAUUUUCUUGGAUGCAUUCUACAUUUUCCCUAGCUACUUUUUUCUCUUGAAUCCUUCUUCUUGAUGUACAAUUCUUUUCAAGAAAUUCAACACAUUCUGGAACUUGUUUUGUUAUAACAAGAAUCGGGAUAAUAUUUGGCACCUUUGGGAGGGCUUCCACGAUGUUUUUUCCACUCUCUUCUUCCUUGGAAAUCAUGAACCUGUGAGGAAAAGGGACAUUUGGUGGAAUAGGGUUAGAAAGAAUUGAAUUUGGAACAACAUUACCUGAAUUGCAUGGCAUGGAAGUUUUAAGGACUUGUGGUAAGGGUUGUUCUUUCCUUGCCAUGGGUGUGUCUUCUUCCUCCUCCUCAAUCAACAACUUCUUGUCCUCUUCUAGGCUAUGUUUGGAUGUUUUUAGGUCAUCUCCAAUCUCCAUAACACUUCCCAAAAUGAUAGCUUUAGUGAUUUCAAAAUCUCCCAUUGAAUUUACAAUAGUUGAGUUGGAGAGUUCACUUUGUUCUUGAAUUUGCCCUAUGAAUUCUGUGAUCUCUCCUAUUUGAUUCUUCAAUUCACUCAUCACUUGGGCUUGAUUUUGUGAUUCAUGCGCCAAAGAAGUUAGUACAUCAAGAAUUUGAGCACAAUCUAUUGACGAACCUGAAUUCGGUUUGAAUUGUUGCGGGGCAGGUUGUGGUGGCUGCAUAGGCGUUGUAUAGAACUCCUCAUAUGGCUGCCAAUAUUCUCCUUGUUGAGCCUCCUUGGCUUGAUUUUGUGAGCCCUACGCCAAAGAAUUUAAUUCAUCAAGAAUUUGAUCAUAAUCUAUUGCUGAACAUGAGUUUGGUUGGGCAUAUUGUAUAUGAGGUUGUGGUGGUUGCGCAGGUCUUGAAUAGAACUCCUCAUAUGGCUCCCAAUAUGCUUCGUGUUGAACUGGUUAAGGUUCCCACCACAUAGAGUUUGAAUGAUCACUCCAAUCUGAAUUGUACAUGUUGGAAAACAAGUUGUUCCUUGAUUGAUUAUGAUCUUGAUAACCCCAGGUAUUGACACUCUCCCAACUUCUUUGUGGAUGUUGAUCAGCUUGAUAUCCUUGCGUAUAGGACACAUCGAAUGUAGGGGUGCUUUGUAUUAUGGUCCUUUCGAUGUACUGUGACAAUUGAGAAGUAAGAUUUGCCAUUUGAACUUGAAGAUUAGCAAUUGCCAUGUCUUACUUCUUUAGUACCUGAUAUCAAAGAAAGAAAACUAAAUCAAAUAUCAUAAGUAAAUUAAACAAAACAGGGUAUUUAGCAAAACAAAGAAAACAAGAAAACAAAACAAAGUCAUAAAAAAAAAUACACGAAAAAGAAACAAGAGGGAUUAGCAAAGUUGCUAAUUCCCGGCAACGGCGCCAAAAUUUGAUGCGAUGUAAAACAAGCACACAAAUUAAAACCCUCUUUUGACAAUUGUAAUAUGUGUAUAAGUAGGGAUCGUUCUAAACCAAGGAUUAGAAGGGAUUGCUAAUCUAAACUAAACUGACCUAAAAACAUAAAAACUAGACUCUAAAACUCUAACUAAGGUUAUAUGACUCAAACAACCUUAAAAGACUCAAAACAGCUUCAAACAAUCAAAUUGACUCAAACUAGACACUAGAGAUGACUUUGAACGAAAAUUGAUUUGAUUAUGACUUAAGACACUCAAAAACACAAAAUAACACAGAUUCUAACCUAAUUGAUACUUAAAACAAAUGGGGGUUUUGGUUUUGACAAAUUUGAACUAAAACAAGACAGAAACUAAACUAGACAAAGUUUAGUACGAAUUUGGAUUUCUGGAUGGUUUGUGGGCUUAGCUAGAGGUUCCUUAUCCACACAUAACUUAUAUGAACAUGAAUCGAUUUCCAGUUACUCUUUUGUUAAAUUAUGAACGACAAUGCCCCAGAUUAACCGUGUCAAUCACUAAUUAAUCCUCAGAUUUUCCUUGAGUUAUUAGAUUGGAUGACAUCAUUCGACAACCCAAAGCAUUCUUCAAAAGUUCCCUACAUGACAUCAUAAUAGAGAUACAAUCAAAGAUCAUUACGUUAUGUGAAAAUCAUAAGCAUUGAUAAAGCAUUUGUAACUAUGACAUCAUGAUACUCAUGCCAGGAAUUUAACGUAACGUGAUCAUGACUAGCAACCUUCACUACUUGUGAAUAUAAGUUCCUAACGAUUAUGUGAAAUUCCCUUAUAUUCUAGCAUUAAAUUCAUGCAUGCAAACUAAGUGUGCACCCUAAUUGACAUACAAGAAUAAGUUCUGAAUAAAAUAGUUAAGCAAAUUGCAUUCAUGAUUCACAAAUUCAUAACUGGAUUUAAUCAAUUCAUAUUGCAUAUAAAAUCAUGGCUUCAAAGUCUCCCCUAGCUAAAACAAGUUUAGCCUCUCAUGUUCACAGCAAAAGAAACAAAAUUGAAUUUAAACAUUGAAAACAAAAGAUUGAUUACACCUAAAACGCCCAGCGAAUCAACUUGAAUGCCCUGCAUGUUCAAGCUCAUCUCUCUUCUUUUCCUUGCUGCGGCACAGAGGUUAAAGGAUGAUUUUGGAUGUGUUUCUAGGUUAGGAAUGGAUUUGGGUUGGUAAAGGGGUGCGGCAAAAUAGAGGGAAGGGGUGUGGAUGUGUUUUUUUUGUUGUGUUGAAUGGUGGUGGAUUGUGGUGGAGGAUGGAUGAAAUCUGGUACCCAAUGGCUAUUACACACACUUACUUAAAUAGCAAAAUAUGUCAAAACAUUAGGGAAAUACAGCUAGGGUGCGGCAGAAAAAACAAGGGAAAGAAAGUAAUGUUUGUAGAAGGAUUUUUAACUCUAAAUCAAAUCAGAAUCCAAGGAAAAGGUUAAGGGGACAAGGAAGGGGACACAAGGCAAGGGAAAGGGAAAGGUUAUGACACAAUAGUGAAAGUGAAAGUGAAAGUUGUGGCAGAAAUCUAGAAGAAAAGGGAAGGAGUGCACAACUAGGGAAAGGAAAGGGAGUGGUGUGACAAGGAAAAGGGAAGGAAAGGCAAAAGGUUAAGGCUGCAAGGAAGGAGACAUGGAUGUGUGCACGGCAAAGAAGGUGAAAGGUGGUGGAAUGGUUUAGCAAGGGGACAAUGAAGGGGCCAAGGGUGGUGUGUAAGGCAAGGAAGGUGAAAGUGAUAAAAUGGUGCAGCAAUGAGACAAUGGAGGGGACAAGAAUGGUGUGCACGGCAAGGAAGGUGAUAGGUGGUGUGACACCCCUUUGUGGCUGAGAUUAAGGCUUCUAGAAUCCUUUAUUUAGUGUCCUAAUAUCUUUGGGAACCCUCCUUGAGGCUGGAACUUAGUUGGAUUAGGAUUAAGAAAGGUUAAAUCAAAAUAAGGUAACUUGACUCAUGUUCUUCUUUUCUUGCUGAGCUCCUUAUCUUCUUUAAAUUAAUACUUCUUUCUCUUUAAUACAUUACUAGCCUCUUUGGUCUUCAAUUUCGUCCAUCCACCUUGCUCCAUGCAUGUGAUAUCCAUUCCAAGCCCAAAAAUGCUCCAAAAUGCACCAAAAUUCACUUUCUUGCAACUUUAGCCUAUUAGAUCUACAAACACACGAAAAUAGCUUAAAAUACAAAAAUAACUAUGAACUAACAACAUAAAUGCAAGAAAACAAGCUAAUCAAGUCGAAUAAUUAUACUCCUAUCAAUUUGUCAUCGUGCACCCCUCGUAGCCGACGUGGGUGUUCUUGUGAAACUAGGGUCAAAAACCCGUCAAUCAUGGGUGGAAAUUGAAGAAUAAGGGCCGGCGAGAAGUUCCCAGGUGGUGGAUGGCUGCAAUUUGGCAGAAAAAUCGACGGAAUGGCUACAGAACGGGUCGGCUCGGUAGGGAGGAACUGGGUCAGGGUGAUCCAAUGCUCCCUCACUCUCUCCUUUUCCUUCCUUUCAUCUUUCUCCCAUUGGUCACUCACCCUCUCCCUUCUCUCCAUUCGUCCUCACAUCUCCCUCCUUUCUUUCCUUUAUUUUCCAUCUCCACCGAUCAUUUCUCAUUCCCUUCAAUCUCAGCCACACACGUGGCUUUCCAGAUUUAGCUUCAAAAAUCUGGAGCCUUCUAGAAAAUAAUUAAUUGACCAUUUUGUCCUCAACUUCGUUCAUUAAUAACUUCUUCGUUAUAACUCCAAAUUGCAUUCCGUUUACGCCCACGCGUUCGUAGCGAUGAGUACUACAAGGAUACGCCAAGAAAAUGAGUCUUACAUGACAUGGUAGUCAACGAAAGUCAACCUCCUCGUCUCUAAGGGCAAUUUCAUCCUUUCACUCUUCUAAAAUUAAUAAAAUCGUAAAAGUAGGGACAUGUUAUCACAUGGUAAGCUAGGCUCUCUCCUAGUAUAACUUUGCAAUCCUUACAAGUUAUACGAUCAUUCUUCCUCAUUAAAAGGAAAUUUGUUUGUGUUUUUGAUGACCCACUCUGUAAAAUCAUAUCUACACUAAAUUAAUUAAAACUACGGUUGUUUCCAUACAUUUUGAUGACUAAAUGAUCUUCUAUUUAAUUUUUUUUGCGAAAAUAAUAUUUCCAUAGUGUUUAUAAUAUGAACGAUUUCUUUAAUAAACAUAAAGAUCCGUAAAUCGGCUACAUUCAUUAAGGAGCCUUUCUUAAAGAAAAAACACUCGCAUUAAAUUACCAUAAGAAAAAGUUAAAAUAAGAAAUGAGUGAAAAGUAUGAGCCGAUGGAUAGUAACGAGAGAUUUCUCAGUGUGUUCGAAACACAAGUGGCACAAUACAUAUCAUUAUAAAUUGAAGGGACACUUGCAAAAAGAAAAUUUCCUUGAAAUAUAUAAUACAUGUGGCACACCACUCCGUGUUCCGAGUACAUUGAAAAACCUCUCCACAGUAACAGUCCAAAUCAAGUACUUCAAAGAUCAAUAAUAUUUUUUUUUAACAAAAUGAGCUAGCAAUAAAAUGGUUCAAAUUCGCACGUGGCGAGAAUCGAACCUAAGACCUCUUACUUACAAGUGAAGAAAAAUACCACUAAACCACAGUACUAAGUGGCAAGAUCAAUAAUAUUUAUUGUUCAGAGGUAUUUGUUGAUAUGCCCCCCAAACUUGUAAGGAUUGACCAAUUUACCCCCCCCCCCUUAACUUUAAUUUUGGUCGAUUUCCCCCUUCAACUCGCAUAAUUAGUCAAUUUCCACCUUACCGUUAGAUUUCAAAUUUUUCCAUCCAAUCUUCAGUUAAAUAUUUCAUGUGCUAUCCACAUGAUUCUCUAAAGGGUAAUAAUGUCAGUCUCUCUAUACCUUCUUCUUCUCCCUUUUCUCCAAACCCAAGUUUUCUUCUCCGUUUAGCCAAGUCAUCUUUCAAACCCAACAUUUAUGUAUGUUUCAUCUCCGUUGGUCAAACCCAGUAUUUCUCUAUGUUUCUCCUCCAAUCUCUAAACCCAUCAUUCAAUUCUUGUUAUUCAUUCAAGGCAUGGAUUAGGUCAGUGGUGUUGAAGCUCUGAUCGCCACAUGAGGCGGAGUGGAGAGAAAAACAAGCUUGCUACUAGAGUUGUCUAUGUUGAUGAGGUGGGGAAUGUUCAGUUGAUAACCACGAUGGCAUAGACGCAGUCAUAGCCCCAUGAAAUACUUAAAUGGAAAAUUGGAUGGUAAUUUUGAGAAUCUAACGAUGAAGUGGAAAUUGACUAAUUAUGAAAGUUGAGGGGGGAAAUUGGCCAAACUUAAAGUUAAGAGGGGAACUUGAACAUUUCUUACAAGUUUGGGGGGGGGGGCAAAUCGACGAAUGCCUCUAUUAUUUAUUUACUUUAUUACACAACAGUGGGUCCCACGUUCAUUCACAUAAAUUGUAGAUAGACUUCUUUGUCCACUAUAAACCCAGAGAUAAGAGAAAUGAUGGGAGGCAGUUAAAGGUGGACUACCCAGAGCCCAACUAUUAUAGACUAGUUAUGUGAUUGCUUCGAUCACAAGGGAUUCUAGUUAAUAAUAGUAAGGACUAAAGUGUAAGGCAAUUAAGGGUUAAAUUUUAAGGGGUUAAAAGUAUCAGGUUCAAUGGUAAUAGGCCAAUGGUUAAUUAAAGGUUUUUGUUAAGUUAUUAGAUGAUGUCUAGCUAGCAUCCGUGUACUGGGAAUGUCGGUGUGUAAGGUAUACAUGCUCCCAAAAUUGGUUGUAACAGUCACUUGAAAAAUUAAUAGAAUAUUCCUUUCAACUUUAUCUCUCUCCUCUCACUUUAUCCCUUACUGACAUAGCUACCAGCUCUCGUUGAUUCUUCAGCUCUGGUCAUGGUCCUAAAAUUGGUAUCACCCACCAAUCCUAGAUUUUCCCAAUGUGUAUGCCCCGUCCUAAGCCAAACACUUGUCCCAAAACCAUGGAUGCUCACUUUCUUGCUCUCGAAGCUGAUUUACCCUCUCUUAUCAUGGAUGUGGUGAACACAACUUUUGACACAAAGCUUUCCACCCAGCUUGAUUCGCACAUUCCGACCUAUUUUGAGCAGUUCUGACAUGAGCUCCAGCAUGAACUCACCUAUGGCAAAGAGGGUGAAGGUUCAUUGGUCCUCUUCUCAUCGAUUAUCAUGUUCCUCCUGAUCUGGAACCAAUUCAUCAACCGCGAAGUCCUGUGUGGAUUAGUGGUACUCAGAAUCUUUGACCUCAUGGCAGCAACAGCUUGAAUUUCCCCAAUUCACUGAGGGUGAUGAUCCCCUUGCUUGGAUUUACAAAGAUGAACAGUUCUUCACUUUCUAUGGGAUUUUGGACUCUCAACGUGUUCUCACUACCUCUUUCCAUUGUGACUACAAGCUUCUUCAUUAGUUCAUUUGGAUAGACUACAUCAACACCACUCUGAGUUGGCUGGAGUUCACCAAAGAUCUUUGCCGUGAAUUUGGGCCUCUAAGUUCGACGUUAGUGCUGAGGCUCUUUUCAAACUCAGGCACACAGGUACUCUUCAUGAUUACAUAGCUAAAUUUAGGCAUUUGGCUACAAGGUCUCCUGAGAUUGGCCCCAUUUUGCUGAAAAGUUGCUUUCUAUGAAGGUUGAAAAAAGAGUUGAGAUAUGAUGGCAAAUUGUUAAAACUUGCAAAUGUGCAUGAGGCUAUUGCAAUUGCAGUGCAACUUGAUUCCAAACUCACUGAGCUUAAUUUUCCUUUUUCUCGAACUUUCACAACCUCUAGACGUUCUAAUACAAUUGUUGCACCUAUCUACCAUAUUGUCCCUAGAAUUGGCAAUCUUGCCAUUAAGAAACUUACCCCAGAUGUGUUACAGAAUAAGAGAGAAAAGUGUGAAUGUUGGUUCUGUAAUGACAAGUGGGUAAGAGGGCAUAAGUGUGGGCUUAUGCAACUAUUAAUGAUGGAUAUAAUGGAUUCUGAAGUUACUGAGGUUGAAACAGUGGAGGACCAACCUAAAUUGCAGCAUAUGGAGCUCAGUGAAUGUGCUUUUUAUGGCACACAUGGAGGUCCUACAACCCAAAUUAUGAAGGUUCUCUAUCAAGUUAAUGGUCACACUGUGAAAAUCCUUCUCGACUCUAGCAGUUCUCACAACUUUGUAGAUUCUAAAUUGUUAAAACAUUAGGGACGGCAAGCUUAAACUACCAAGUCCUUUGAGGUCAUAAUAGCUUAUAGGGGCAAGGUUACAAGUUCUGGUUGCUGCAAGGCUGUUAAAUCAUCACUAGCAGGUUAUCACUGUCACACAGACCUAUAUUCCUUGCCAUUAGGUAGAUGUGAUGUAGUUUUGGGAGUGUAAAGGCUUUCCACAGUGAGCCAUGUGUUAUGGGAUUUCCAAUUUCUCACUAUGGAAUUCACCAAGAACCAUCACACCUACAAACUGUUUCAUAAUUCCUCCACUGAAACUAGGAUUCAAGAGGUGUCACUCCACCAUCUAGACAAGGAAAUAGUCAAUUCUAACUUGGGGUUAUUCUUGUACUCUAUUAAAGGAGAAAAGUUGGAAUUCUGUGAAUUGAGCUCAGUGCAGUUGCAGGAGCUGCAGUAACUCUUGGGUGCAUUUGGCCAUCAUAUCUCUCUUGUGCAAGGUGCUAAACCCCCAAGCAUUAGACCAUAUCACUAUGGUCUAUUACAUAAGACAGAGAUAGAAAAAACAGUCCAAUAGCAACUUGAUGCAGGUUUUAUAAGGCAAAGACAUAGCCCAUUUUCCUUCCCUGUGUUACUAGUGAAAAAGAAAGAGGGCACCUCAAGAAUGUGUAUAGACUAUAGAGAGCUCAAUGCACUCACCAUUAAGGAUUAAGUACCUCAUACCCCUUAUCAAUGAUCUAUUGGAUGAAUUGCAUAGAUCUUUCUACUUCUCUAAGUAAGACUUGAGGUCUGGGUAUCACCAUAUCUUAAUGCAACCUGGAGACAUUGAGAAAACUGCCUUUAGGACUCAUGAGGGCCAAUAUUAGUUCCUAGUAAUGCCUUUUCGGCUUACAAAUGCUCCUGCUACAUUCCAGAGCUUAAUGAAUGAUUUGUUUAAACCUCACUUUAGGAAAUUUGUGUUAGUCUUCUUUGAUGACAUCCUCAUCUAUAGCAAGACCUAGGAAACCCAUUUAGCUCACUUGCAAGUGGUGUUUGAGAUAAUGAAGCACAACCAACUCUUCCUUAAAAAAUCCAAAUGUUCUUUUGGCCAAGGUAGAGUUAAGCAUUUGGGACACUUUGUCUCCAAAGAGGGAGUAGCACCUAACCCUAAGAAAAUACAAGCUAAGAGGGAGUAGCACCUAACCUUGGGAUUCUGGCUAUUAUAGGAAGUUUGUGCCAUGCUAUGGAAAAAUUUGCCAGCCCUUAUACCAAUUGAUAAGAAAUGAUGGGUUCCAUUGGGAUACAGAAGCUAAAUAAACCUUUGGAAGACUUAAAGUUGCCAUGAUCUCUCCACAGGUACUUACCCUACUAGAUUUCUCCAAGCCAUUUGAGCUGAAGUGUGAUGCAUCAGGCUGUGGCAUUAGGGAUGUGCUGCAACCAAGGAAGAAAAAAUCGAUAAUAUCGGCGAUAUUUCGCCGAUAUUAUCGUUUUUUUAAAGGUCCGAUAUUUUUUUAACUAUCCAAAUAAUUUUCUUCAAAAUAUCACGAUAUUAUCGAUAAUAUCGCGAUAUUUUUAAAAUUAUCGAUAAUAUCGCAAUAAAAUAUUCAAAAAUACUUAAUAUGUUGAGAAAUCUCAACACAUACUACACUUGAUCAAAACCCAAAGACCAACCAAGACAUGAAGACAAGCUUUCUCAGGAUGUGAAUGUGCCUUUUAUAGACGUUUUUGGCUUGUUCACUGCCCUCGCUGGGCGAUGUGGGACUCAGUCACUCAACCAAGGAAGAAAAUCAGAAUUUCGGCCGAAACUUUACACCCACUUUAAACGGCCAUAACUUUGUCAAAACUCAACGAAAUCAAGCAAGACACAAACGAAAGUUGUAGCCCUCGAAGAGACGAAGAGAAUGGUACCUCAUACGACGUCUGAAUCGUCGUGGUUUGGCCGGAAAAUGUCUCGCAAGUCACUGAGAUCGCCGGAAACUGGGUAAGAUUCAAAUGAGUAUAACUUUUUUAAUACUCAACGAAAUUGAGUGAAACAAAAAGGAAAGUUGUACUACUCGACGAGACAAAGAGAUUGAUACCUUGCACGCCGGCCAACUCGCCGUGGUUUGGCCGGAAAUUUCCUCGAAAGCCACUGAGGUCGCCGAAAAUUGGGUAAGAUUCAAAUGAGUAUAACUUUUUCAAUAUGCAACGAAAUUGAGUGAAAUGAAAAGGAAAGUUGUAGCCCUCGAAGAGACGAAGAGAAUGGUACCUUACACGACGUCUGAAGCGUUGUGGUUUGGCCGGAAAUUUCCUCGAAAGCCACUGAGGUCGCCGGAAACUGGGUAAGAUUCAAAUGAGUAUAACUUUUUCAAUACUCAACGAAAUUGAGUGAAACAAAAAGAAAAGUUGUACUACUCGACGAGACGAAGAGAUUGAUACCUUGCACGCUGGCCAAAAUUCAAUUGACACACUCCUGGCUUCCAAAAUUCAAUUCUUUUACUUUAUAUAAACUUGAAAAAACAUAAUCGGCAUCCAAAUUAAAGUUUAGUCUUAUUCUUAUGUGUAAGAAAUUUAAAGUGUCAAAUUCGGCACAUUAUUCUUCAUCAUUUUAUUCACUUCCCAUUUUUUUUUAAUAUCCUAAAUAAAACCUCCAAAUAUUGUACUAAUUAAUUAUAUAUAAAUGAUUAUGGUGUGUUUAAACUUCUUUCAUUAAUUACUACAUAUUUUCUACACUCACAAUGUUUGCCAGCUCGCUAUAUAAUCAACUUAAAUCAGUUAAAUCCAUCAUGCAAUGCAUUUCCUUCCAAUUUUUUGUGAUAAACUAAUAGAUAUUGACUAAAUAAACAUCCUACAAAGUUUCAUUAAAAAUUUCCAAGUUUUUCUUACAAUUUCCGUGGUUUCCAUGUUAUUUUUAUCGAUAUCGAUAUUUUACCGAUAUUUCCAUCGAUAUUUCCGUGUUUUCGGACUACCGAUAUUUCCGAUAUUACCGAUAUUUUCUUCCUUGGCUGCAACAAUGCGGGAAUUGCUUUUUCAAGCCAAUCAUUGGGAUCAAGGAAUCAAGCACUCUCUAUUUAUGAGAGAGAGUUAAUUACAGUGGUUUUUGCAAUGAGAAAGUGUCAGAAUUACUUGCAGGGUAGGCAUUUCAUAAUUAAGACUGACCACAAGAAUCUUAAGUAUUUCUUGCAUCAAAGAGCCAAUACUGCAUUUCAACAUAAGUGGGUUUCCAAGUCAUUGGGGUAUGACUAUGAAAUAUAGUUCGAAAAUGGUUCCGAAAAUGCAGUUGCAGAUGCAAUAUCUAGAUUGUAGGGUGCAGCUCAGUUACCAGAAAUCUCUUCUCAAUCUAUUGGGGAAUGCAAUGCUAUUUCGUACCCUUACCAUGGAUGGAUAGAUGAGUUGAGAAUGAACACUGAACAUGAUGAGCGAUUAUAGAAAAAAAGAAAGAAGUGGUUAAUUCUUCAAUGAGUGGCACAGGUAGUUCAGCUUUGCGAAAGUACACUAUUGACAAUGGUUUCUUGCUUUACAAGAAAAAGGUUGUGCUGAGCUCUCACUCUGAGUGGAGAAAGAAUAUUGUAGAAGAGCACCAUUACACUCCCUCUGCUGGCCAUUGCACUCCCAAAGCCUACCUGAGCCAGUAGAGCUUUUAAGUUGGUCUUUCGACGGAGAACCUUUGUUGCAACCUUCUUGCUUUCUCCUCUGGUUCAAGCGUAGGAUGAUGUAAAGCCUUGGAAAUAUUCAGGUAUCAAAUCGUAUUAAGUCUGAACGAUUUCACAAUUGUCCAAAUUUAGGGAAAUUUAAUAGGAUAGCAGAUCGACACUAUUCUAAUACUUAGAAAAUAGCAGCUUGCACAAUGUAUUGCGUGGCAAUCUAAGAUCGAAAUGAAAGUAUUAUGAAAAGAUCCUUCUCAUCUCAAGAUUUUGCUUUCGGUAUAUUUUUUUUGUCGAUCUUCAGUGGCACAGCUUCUAGCCCUUCUAUUGAGAGGUAAAUUGUCUCACUGCAUAUUGAUAGUAACAGUGAAUAAAUUUACAUCCGUGAGACACGAAUUUGUAAACACAUUCCUCGUCAAGAAUUGGUAAAUAGUAGCAUAACUAUUCUUAAUGAAUUUUAGUUACAUAAUCUUCGUUUUCCAACUACACCAGCGAAACCCCGAACUUCAAGGACCAAACUCGGAAUUUAUUCACGGUAAGAACCAAAGCAUCAGCCGCAGAUUGCGUUUCAUGGAGUGGAGAUGAGUCCAUACAACGGUAAAAAUGUUGCCUCGCUUCAUAAUUUAUUGGCAUACAAAAUCGGAGUAGAAAGCUAGGACUGUCCUCCUUUGACAGUUCUGAAUGCUUAGUAGUUCCACAUCAAAAACUUCAAACUGUUUCGAGCUGAAGAAGGUGGACGGUCCGACCUGUAAAACCAAUCGUCUUUUAUCAAGUAUACGAGGAAAUUCAAACACAAAAAUACUUGGUACUAGUUCGUGCAACAAAAACAUCCUCAACUCCAACUUUGGGUUUUCGGUAAAUAGGAUCUCUUGUAUAAAAGAACUAAUCUAAUGAUCUAAUGUGUUCAUGUCAUUCUGGGGUUGUCAAGGAUUUUGGAGGGUUAACAUUCAUGAUAUUCUUGCAUUUCAAGACCAAAUCCGCCUGAAAUACAGACAACAACAUUUCUGUUGAGACCUUGAUCUUCAAAUUCUCAAGUCCCGAGAUGUUGAACAAUGGAUCAAAACUCACAGGGUUGGAUGGCAAAGCAGCCAGGACAGUUGGAUCUAUGGGUGCAGAGUUUGCAGUAUUCAUGCUCAAAUAGAGAAGAUAUUACGAAUUCAAAGAAUUUUGGUGAACCUUAAACUAAGUUAUCACAGUAUAGAGGACUGCCUUCAAAAUGCAGGUAAAAGGAAAGGACAACAAUUGAAAUAGUAACUUGAAAUCGCAAGUCUUCUAAAACUUUGCCUCCUAGGCCAUGUCGUAAAUAUCUUAGGUGAGGUGAACUACGCAAGAAUAAAACGGACACAAGUACACAAACUACUCGUAGAAGGCUACUCAUUUCAACAUUUUAUAAUGAGUUCCGAAACUUCUUGGACUACAAAGUCUUUCCUGGAGCCAUUUACAGUUUGUUUGAAUGCUCCAACAUGUUUAGCAUCCCUUAUUCGUUAUGGAUACCAAUCAACCAAUAAGAUUGAAAUUACGAGAGGAAGAGAAUGCAAGUACACACUAUGGAACAAUACCAACUUAUCAGUAAACCAAGAAAAUUAGAGAUUUGAGUAAACUGACCGGCGGUCCAAGUUCUGGUGGAAUGAUUAUUCUUCUUUUCCCUCCAGGUUUCAUGUCACGAAUUCCUUCUUCAAAUCCUGCAGUACUUCCUAGUUUAGCAACUUUAACUACUAGUUAUCUUUUCCUCCUCCCUCUUCGCCACCUCUUCUCCGUUUCGUUCUCAGGGUGGAGAAGAGGGGUCAGGGCAAAGGACAAAGUACACAAGAUUUGAUGAACUUGAGAGUUGAUUGCACUUUUAACCUGGGACCAAUGCAUUUGUGCCCAUGCGGAUUCUGGCCGGAGAACCCUGCGUGUAACUGCUGUCAAUACGCCGGCCUGACUCGUUGUAUCCAAUAUAGUGGAACAUCACCUGCAAAGUAUCUUGAAUCAGAGGUGCUCAUAACUUAACUGUCACCUUUUACCCUUUUUGGGUAAAUUUUUCAAAUUCUAGUAUUAUUCAGAGAGGAAAACAACAGCUUUUAAAAAGCAUGAAAGAAAAACCUGUUGACCAGCCUCUGGGCAAUCACCUUCACCAACUACAAAAUCCCGAAAUAUAAGCCCCGAGUCUCGUGUGAUGUAGUUUGGUGGCGUUACUACCUGAACCUGAAAACCUGAUACACACGUUCAUAUAUACAUAUUGAUUCUGCUGGGAUCCAUAAAAAAACAAUGACUCAGUAACAGCAGAUUAAUUAGAGGAAACAAUAUAUCGAGAGUUUGUAUUUGUAAAGGCAACAGUGAUACAAACCUUCUCUAAUGAAACUUGGAAAGUCUUCGGGUGCAUUAUUUUCUUUCUGUAUCCGCUUGUUUUGUUCAAGUAAGCGCCUUUCAUCAAAUGGACUUUUACUCUUUGUCUUUGCAGAAGAAGAUAAAUUUGGAAACAAGCUAGUUGUGACCGAAAGAAAUAGGAGAAGCCUCCGACUCAAAUUCUCUUCGUAAUGUGAUAUGCCACGGCUCUUUUCCCCAGUUCUGCAAAGCAAAGGUUUAUGUAACAGGAAUUUUUGUUAUUCAUCAACAGAAUAAAGGGGUAAGGCUAGCCGACAUUCACCUCUCCCAGACCCUGCGUAAAGCGGGAGCCUUGUGCACUGGGUACGACGACGAUCAACAGAAUAAAGGGGGGCAAAAACUAGAUAAAAUUUGUAAACCGAUUAAAGAAAAUCUAACCUGUGAUGUCUCGAGUCAUGACUCGAGCAGCAUUGUAUUAUUUGGUUAUUCUGAUUCAAAUGAAUCCUUAGUAAGGGAGCUGGAAGAAUUCUGUUUGUCAGUAAGUUGAUAUUGACAAGAAAGAUAACAAAAACAUAUCUACGCUCACGGUUUAGCUGCUGAUAAAAAAGAGAGUGAAAAUUUUAUAAAGUCAGCAUAUGGAAAUAGUAAGAAUUUGGCAAGUUUCAUAGCUUCAUUCAGUCUUACUGCAUUGCUAUUCUUCGAGUCAAUUUUCUUUGAAGUGGCUUCUCGUGUUAGAAAGGAAUAGCGGAGACGUUUAAGUUGAAACUCUUAUAGCUAUGGCCAUUAUCAUGGACACGCCCAGAACCACCCCAGGAAGAAACCUCAAGCCCCUCACAGUCUCACCCCACCAUUUUCGGGUUAUCAAUUUCUCUAUACAGGAUGGGGUUGGACGCAGAGGAGGGUUUUAACUUGAUAUACAUUGUUGAUUCAUUCUCGAAUAUCUUUAAGCUUUUGCAGCUCUUCAACUAGUUUUUAGUAGGCAUCAGAAAAUCUAAUUUAACAGAAAGCCAAGUCCUUGAGACACCACUUUCCUUCGCUUUCGAAAACUUAUUGAAUUGUAAUUGACAAAGACACUAGAUUACCAUACGCUGCAAACAAGAUAAUUAGAGGCAGUUUUUCGUAAACAAUUUCUGGGCCUUUCAAUAAACUAAAAGUUGCAGUAGCAAAACAGAGAAAAGCCAAGAAAGUAGAAACAUUAAGGAAAAUAAAAAGCACAAUUUAAAGGCAUGUACGUUUCUUGUAUAAAUCAAAUUCCAACCCACUAAGAUUAUCCUGUAGAGAAAUGAUUUCCGCACGCUCGUUUCUCAUUUUGCACAACCUCGUUUAUUUUUGUCCAUCGAUCCUCCAAUGGUUUAUCUAAUUCAAAUAACAAGUGUGCGGGGAGAACGAGUGUGCGGAAAUCACUUCUCGAUCCAAUAUUCUACAUACAUACAUACAUACAUACAUACAUAGAGAGAGAGAGAUUACAGGGUUUAAAAGCGAGAGAAGAGGGAAUCAUCAGCAUGGCUCGGCUCGAGCUUUAAGCUUCCGGCAUGUAUGGGAGUUGGCCAAACACACACACAGAAGGAAAGAAACCGUUAUUUGGUGAUGUUAUCUCUUCAGAUUGCUGGUUAAGAGGCAAAUAAGUAAAUAUCAUUUAACUCCCCAAUGGUUCUUGUUAUGUCAUUUCCUCCCCUCAAGCUUCUUCAAUAUUGCCUGGAGGGGUCCAGGCUGACCCAGACCCAUCUUUCUUCUCUUGGGGUCCAAUUCGAUCCAAAUAUGUCUAUUCGGAUUAAGCCCAACCGAAAACGCACUUCAAGCUCAUAAAGGGCAUUUUUUUUUUUUUUUUUUUUUUUUAAGUACAUCAAUAGUUUUACACUAGGAUGAGAAGUUCAACCUAAUUUGGUAUUGAAUUCACCAUCCACUAGAUUUGAACAUAAGACCUCUCACUUUCAAGUGGAUAGAAAUAUCACCAGACCGUAGUACUGAGUGGUCUUAUAAAGCGGAUUUAGAUGCCCGAAAUUUUCAAUAUGUUCAAUGCAUAUAGAUCACUAAACAAUCUUCAAUUUGAUUAGUUUUUUGUAUAUAAUGAUAUUUAAAGAGAAUUGUAAUUGACACUGUAAAAAUAUAAUUGUACGCUCAAAAAUUUUUAUAUUUAAAAAAUAGUUUCCUAUUUAAAUAGUGAUUUAGAAAAUAAACAGUUUUGAUUAUGACAUGUGGCUGUAUAAAUUCCUUGACCACAAGUAGAUGAGAAAGAGGGUGCACUUAUCGUUGAUGAAAAAGGAGGUGGACGUAGUUAUAAUUCAUUGAACAAUGGUUUAAAAUACAAAGAUCUUGUAGCUCAAGUGGGUAGGAAUAUUUAUCAAUCCUUAUUCUUUUUGUAUAGUUCAUAAUUGGACCCACACAAAACUGAAAAUGGAGCAAUAGGCCGACUGUAAUCUUGACCCCGUAACCCGUUAG
rnacentral:lncRNA from 1 species